AGCCAUCACUUGAUUACUCCAUGUACGUACUAUACGUAGUGAGUACGGAGUACUCCGUACUUCCCAAGAGUUAAUACGGCGCCACACGUAUUCCAAUUUUGGUGGUGUUUGGUGUAUCCAUAUUGUCUUAAGGCGCAUGUAAUGUACGUACUACUAGUGCUUUCAUGCGUCGUGCAGGACCAGAGAUGCACACGCACAACUUAACCUGCCAACCAACAUACAUGAAUGCAUGACGAAUUGAACGUGACACCGUGCAUCAUAUAUAUCAAGCCAUCCAUCAUGCAUAUCUAUUGCUUUUUUUUUUCGUUUCACUUGAAUUCAAUGUCCAAAUUUUUUUGUUUCCAUGUCUUACUUGAACAAAUACUAUGAGAAAGAAAGACUAAGCUUGUGGGGACUGUCUCUGCUUUGACGUGACCAUCCAAUUAUAACAGGAAUGGAAUCGCCAUAAGUACAACGAAACCCCCCUUUUUUAAUUAUGAUCAUCAAACUAUAUAUAUAGACGGUCAAUGACUCAUCCAUGGAGCCAAAUGUUAGUGCUCGGUCCACGACAUCAUCGACCAUCAUGAACCAGUAGC
rnacentral:lncRNA from 1 species